GUAAAGGUUUUUUUGAAAACCACUAAUAUAUUAAGUGCUGGAGAG
rfam:Loxodonta africana unplaced genomic scaffold scaffold_158, whole genome shotgun sequence.